UACGUAGGGUGCGAGCGUUGUCCGGAAUUACUGGGCGUAAAGAGCUCGUAGGUGGUUUGUCGCGUCGUUCGUGAAAACUCACAGCUCAACUGUGGGCGUGCGGGCGAUACGGGCAGACUGGAGUACUGCAGGGGAGACUGGAAUUCCUGGUGUAGCGGUGGAAUGCGCAGAUAUCAGGAGGAACACCGGUGGCGAAGGCGGGUCUCUGGGCAGUAACUGACGCUGAGGAGCGAAAGCGUGGGGAGCAAACAGG
rnacentral:rRNA from 1 species